UACGUAGGGUGCAAGCGUUUGUCCGGAAUUAUUGGGCGUAAAGAGCUCGUAGGCGGUUUGUUGCGUCGGCUGUGAAAUCCCGAGCUCAACCUCGGGUCUGCAGUCGAUACGAGCAAACUAGAGUGUUGCAGGGGAGACUGGAAUUCCUGGUGUAGCGGUGAAAUGCGCAGAUAUCAGGAGGAACACCGGUGGCGAAGGCGGGUCUCUGGGCCGAUACUGACGCUGAGGAGCGAAAGCGUGGGGGAGCGAACAGG
rnacentral:rRNA from 1 species